rnacentral:rRNA from 1 species
UGCGUAGGGGGCAAGCGUUGUCCGGAAUCAUUGGGCGUAAAGAGCGUGUAGGCGGCCCGAUAAGUCCGCUGUGAAAGUCCAGGGCUCAACCCUGGAAUGCCGGUGGAUACUGUCGGGCUCGAAUCCGGAAGAGGUGAGUGGAAUUCCUGGUGUAGCGGUGAAAUGCGCAGAUAUCGGGAGGAACACCUAUGGCGAAGGCAGCUCACUGGCCGUUAUCUGACGCUGAGGCGCGAAAGCGUGGGUAGCAAACAGG